rnacentral:lncRNA from 1 species
ACACUGAACAAGAAAUACUUACAGUAAUAUUCAAAAUAGCUGCAGGGUGGGAGAUUUAGCUCAGUGUUUCUGCCUCCUGCCCCGCAAGCGCAAGGACCCAAGUUUGAUCCCCGGUACCAUAAAUAAAUAAAUAUAUACAUACAUAGAGAACUAGGCAAACCAUUUGGGCAAGGGAUUUAGCUUAGUGGUUCCAGCAGCUGCCGUGCAAGUGCAAGGUCAUGAGUUCGAUCCCUGGUACCAAAAAAAAAAAAAAAAGAAGAAGAAGCAGCUACAAAACUAACUUGGAAUAAACUUAAGGGAGUAAAAGUCCUUUACAAUUAGAAUUACUUAAUACAAAUGAAAGAAUUUGAAUACAGGAAAGUGUGAAAGACCUCUCAUAUUCAUAAAUUGGAAGAAUAUUGUUAAAAUGUCUCUACUGCCCAAAAGGAUUCACAAACUCAAUAUAAUUCCCAUGAAAUACAAUGAUAUUCUUCAGGGAGCUAGAUAAAAACAACUCUAAAACUCAUAUGAAGUCAUGAAAGACCCUAAAUCGCUAUAGAAAUUUUGAAUAAAAGGAGCAAAACUAGAGGCAUCACAAUAUGUGAUUUCAAGACAUAUUGCAGGGCCAUAGUAGCCAAAGCAGAUAUUGGCAUAGAAACAGACCUAUACACUAAUGGAACUGGGUGAAGAUUGCAGAAAUAAACCCAUGUAUUCACAGCCAACUGAUUCUUCACAAAGGAGCCAAAAAUCACACAGAGAGAGGACAGCUUCUUCAAUAAGCCCACUCUUUGUUCCACUACCCACUGCCCUGUUUGCACCCAGCCCACACUUCCUGACCCGAGCAAAGGGCAGGGACAGAGUGGGAAGUUUCCCUGUGAAGGAUGAAAGGAUGUUAAACAGAAAACUCAAGAUUAGUACUACAGAAAAG